rnacentral:rRNA from 1 species
GACAGAGGUCCCGAGCGUUAGGCGGAAUCACUGGGCUUAAAGCGUGUGUAGGCGGAUCGUUAAGUACCUUGUGAAAUCCCACGGCUUAACCGUGGAACUGCUUGGUAUACUGGCGAUCUUGAGCCACUUAGGGGCAACCGGAACAAACGGUGGAGCGGUGAAAUGCGUAGAUAUCGCUUGGAACGCCGAAGGUGAAAACAGGCUGCUGGGGUUGCGCCGACGCUGAGACACGAAAGCCAGGGGAGCAAACGGG